rnacentral:rRNA from 1 species
GAACGCGAAGAGCCUUACCAAGUCUUGACAUCCUUUGACCACUCUAGAGAUAGAGCUUUCCCUUCGGGGACAAAGUGACAGGUGGUGCAUGGUUGUCGUCAGCUCGUGUCGUGAGAUGUUGGGUUAAGUCCCGCAACGAGCGCAACCCUUAUUACUAGUUGCCAGCAUUGAGUUGGGCACUCUAGUGAGACUGCCGGUGACAAACCGGAGGAAGGUGGGGAUGACGUCAAAUCAUCAUGCCCCUUAUGACUUGGGCUACACACGUGCUACAAUGGAUGGUACAACGAGCAGCGAACUCGCGAGGGUAAGCGAAUCUCUUAAAGCCAUUCUCAGUUCGGAUUGUAGGCUGCAACUCGCCUACAUGAAGCCGGAAUCGCUAGUAAUCGCGGAUCAGCACGCCGCGGUGAAUACGUUCCCGGGUCUUGUACACACC